rnacentral:rRNA from 1 species
CUACGGGUGGCAGCAGUGGGGAAUAUUGCACAAUGGGCGAAAGCCUGAUGCAGCAACGCCGCGUGAGGGACGACGGCCUUCGGGUUGUAAACCUCUUUUAGCAGGGAAGAAGCGAAAGUGACGGUACCUGCAGAAAAAGCACCGGCUAACUACGUGCCAGCAGCCGCGGUAAUACGUAGGGUGCAAGCGUUGUCCGGAAUUAUUAGGCGUAAAGAGCUCGUAGGCGGUUUGUCGCGUCUGCUGUGAAAAUCCGAGGCUCAACCUCGGACCUGCAGUGGGUACGGGCAAACUAGAGUGCGGUAGGGGAGAUUGGAAUUUCUGGUGUAGCGGUGGAAUGCGCAGAUAUCAGGAGGAACACCAAUGGCGAAGGCAGAUCUCUGGGCCGUAACUGACGCUGAGGAGCGAAAGCGUGGGGAGCGAACAGGAUUAGAUACCCGCGUAGUC